AGUUCAAAACUAGGUCAGCUCAGUAAUUGUACGUGCACGAUUCAAGGAGCUUCAGAUCUAAAAAUUCUUGCAUAAUACUAAAAUAAAAUCAAUCAUAAUACUUUUAGAUCAUAUCUAAAAUUUUUAUGAUUUGAGAUUUUAUUUUAUCAUGAUUAAAAUAAUUUUAAUCAUAUAGAUUAGAUAUCUUAUUUUUCAUACAACUUUGUAUCACAUACAACAAACCUAGGAUUUCAAGAUCUAAGAUUUUGUAGAAAAAUAACUUCUUCUUUUCACGUUCUUCUUCAUGAGAUCUAAUCAUAUGGCACCCC
rnacentral:lncRNA from 1 species